rnacentral:lncRNA from 1 species
GAACAAAGGGUACAGUAAAGGUUUAAUUCAUUCAUCACCAAUUCACGUUCACAAAAAUUUAUUGAAUACUUGAAUAUCACCAUGAAAAACAUAAAAUAAACAUAGACUCAAGCAAGGUUCGCGGUACCGAUCGUACCGACGUACCGGUCGGCUCCGGUAACGGUACGGUAUCGAUGCCGAACCGAUACCGUACCGAUAUGGCACAUUCGGCCUGAUUUCGAUCCCAUCGUCUUUUUUUUUUUGGAGUUCUUUCACUUUUGAAUUUUUU